rnacentral:rRNA from 1 species
UGCGUAGGCGGAAUAUUAAGUCAGUGGUGAAAUCCUGCGGCUCAACCGUAGAAUUGCCAUUGAUACUGAUAUUCUUGAAUGUAGUUGAGGUAGGCGGAAUGUGUAAUGUAGCGGUGAAAUGCUUAGAUAUUACACAGAACACCGAUUGCGAAGGCAGCUUACUAAACUAUGAUUGACGCUGAGGCACGAAAGCGUGGGGAGCGAACAGGAUUAGAUACCCUGGUAGUCC